rnacentral:rRNA from 1 species
AACGAACGCUGGCGGCAUGCCUAACACAUGCAAGUCGAACGAGACCUUCGGGUCUAGUGGCGCACGGGUGCGUAACGCGUGGGAACCUGCCCUUAGGUUCGGAAUAACUCCCCGAAAGGGGUGCUAAUACCGGAUAAUGUCUUCGGACCAAAGAUUUAUCGCCUUUGGAUGGGCCCGCGUUGGAUUAGCUAGUUGGUAGGGUAAAAGCCUACCAAGGCGACGAUCCAUAGCUGGGCUGAGAGGAUGAUCAGCCACACUGGGACUGAGACACGGCCCAGACUCCUACGGGAAGCAGCAGUGGGGAAUAUUGGACAAUGGGCGAAAGCAUGAUCCAGCUAUGACGCGUGAGUGAUGAAGGCCUUAGGGUUGUAAAGCUCUUUUAACCGGGAUGAUAAUGACAGUACCGGGAGAAUAAGCUCCGGCUAACUCCGUG